rnacentral:rRNA from 1 species
GACGAACCGUGCGAACGUUGUUCGGAUUCACUGGGCUUAAAGGGCGCGUAGGCGGGCUGUCAAGUCAGGGGUGAAAGCUUUCGGCUCAACCGGAAAAGUGCCCCUGAUACUGAUGGUCUAGAGUGAGGUAGGGGCAUGUGGAACUUCCGGUGGAGCGGUGAAAUGCGUAGAUAUCGGAAGGAACGCCGGUGGCGAAAGCGACGUGCUGGACCUCGACUGACGCUGAGGCGAGAAAGCUAGGGGAGCAAACGGG